AUUGAACGCUGGCGGCAUGCCUUACACAUGCAAGUCGAACGGCAGCACGGGUGCUUGCACCUGGUGGCGAGUGGCGAACGGGUGAGUAAUACAUCGGAACAUGUCCUGUAGUGGGGGAUAGCCCGGCGAAAGCCGGAUUAAUACCGCAUACGAUCUACGGAUGAAAGCGGGGGACCUUCGGGCCUCGCGCUAUAGGGUUGGCCGAUGGCUGAUUAGCUAGUUGGUGGGGUAAAGGCCUACCAAGGCGACGAUCAGUAGCUGGUCUGAGAGGACGACCAGCCACACUGGGACUGAGACACGGCCCAGACUCCUACGGGAGGCAGCAGGGGGGAAUUUUGGACAAUGGGCGAAAGCCUGAUCCAGCAAUGCCGCGUGUGUGAAGAAGGCCGUCGGGUUGUAAAGCACUUUUGUCCGGAAAGAAAUCCUUGGCCCUAAUACGGUCGGGGGAUGACGGUACCGGAAGAAUAAGCACCGGCUAACUACGUGC
rnacentral:rRNA from 1 species